rnacentral:rRNA from 1 species
UCCUGAUAAAGGAGUCUUUUGCUUGUCCUAAAAGCACAGGUGAAUAAGGGGUGGGCAAGUCUGGUGUCAGCCGCCGCGGUAAUACCAGCACCUCGAGUGGUCAGGACGUUUAUUGGGCCUAAAGCAUCCGUAGCCGGCUCUGCAAGUCUUCGGUUAAAUCCAUCUGCUUAACAGAUGGGCUGCUGGAGAUACUACAGCGCUAGGGAGUGGGAGAGGCAGACGGUAUUCAGUGGGUAGGGGUAAAAUCCUCUGAUCCAUUGAGGACCACCAGUGGCGAAGGCGGUCUGCCAGAACACGUUCGACGGUGAGGGAUGAAAGCUGGGGGAGCAAACCGGAUUAGAUACCCCCGUAGUCC